UCUGUAAGCCUGUGAAGGUGUGUCGUGAGGCAUGCUGGAGGUAUCAGAAGUGCGAAUGCUGACAUAAGUAACGAUAAAGCGGGUGAAAAGCCCGCUCGCCGGAAGACCAAGGGUUCCUGUCCAACGUUAAUCGGGGCAGGGUGAGUCGACCCCUAAGGCGAGGCCGAAAGGCGUAGUCGAUGGGAAACAGGUUAAUAUUCCUGUACUUGGUGUUACUGCGAAGGGGGGACGGAGAAGGCUAUGUUGGCCGGGCGACGGUUGUCCCGGUUUAAGCGUGUAGGCUGGUUUUCCAGGCAAAUCCGGAAAAUCAAGGCUGAGGCGUGA
rnacentral:rRNA from 1 species